rnacentral:ncRNA from 1 species
CGCGGAGGACGACCUCCCCCGUUGCGGGCACCACGACCAGGACGGCCUGG